AUCCAGCUGAUGAUUCCCGAACAAGAUGAAACGCGCGUCCUGGAU
rfam:Schistosoma haematobium scaffold172_15, whole genome shotgun sequence.